CCUAUCGUGUAUAAUAAUAAAUUAUUCGCAUAUCACUUAAAACAAUUAAGAGAGAUUACCAAACAAAUUUUGGUGGUAUUCAAGUUUUAAUAGAUAUUUUGAUUAUUUUCAAUUUAAUUAGUUAUUGAUUUUUUUACAACAAGUUUAUUAUAGAAAGUUACUUUCCAAAACAAUUCUUAUUCAAUGAUCUUAGUUUAUGUUAUUCGAUUAAUAAGUGAGUGUUUUAAUGAUUUUUCAAACAAUGUUAGUGAUAUAUCAACUACUAUAAAAGAAUAGUUUUACUAUAUAAAAGACAAAUGGUAUUGUAUGGCUUUAACAUAUCGCACAAAAAAAUAUUAGUCGCCAAUCAUUUUGAUAAUUGGUCAGAUAAAAGAAAAAUAGAUAUUAUUUUAGAAGCAACAACAGGUAUUAUUAAGAUAAAAGCAUUUUUCGAGGAAUAGAUUUCAUAACAUGAUACUACUUCAUAUGAACUAACUAAAAAAUCAAAAUCGAAAAAGUUGAUUAUUGCCAUUUUUUCUUUGUUUCCUUUAAAUUUAUAUUUAGUUACUUGCAGUAGAAUUAUCCUUUCUGUUUAUUUGAUGAAUGGUAUAAAUAUUUGUUUAUACAAUAGUUACGUUUUAUUAUAAA